AUGAAGCAAAGAUUCCAAUCACUAAAGAUGGAGAAAGCCAUGGGAGCCUGGUGUGCAAUGGUUGCAAACAGCAGCCUCCUUGGUAGUGUAUGCAGCCUGUUGCCCAAUAUGGGCUGCUCUAAGGGACCUUGGAGACAAUU